GUGGGGAAUAUUGCACAAUGGGCGCAAGCCUGAUGCAGCAACGCCGCGUGAGGGAUGACGGCCUUCGGGUUGUAAACCUCUUUUAGUAGGGAAGAAGCGAAAGUGACGGUACCUGCAGAAAAAGCACCGGCUAACUACGUGCCAGCAGCCGCGGUAAUACGUAGGGUGCAAGCGUUGUCCGGAAUUAUUGGGCGUAAAGAGCUCGUAGGCGGCUUGUCGCGUCUGCUGUGAAAACCCGAGGCUCAACCUCGGGCCUGCAGUGGGUGCGGGCAGGCUAGAGUGCGGUAGGGGAGAUUGGAAUUCCUGGUGUAGCGGUGGAAUGCGCAGAUAUCAGGAGGAACACCGAUGGCGAAGGCAGAUCUCUGGGCCGUAACUGACGCUGAGGAGCGAAAGCAUGGGGAGCGAACAGGAUUAGAAACCCGUGUAGUCC
rnacentral:rRNA from 1 species